rnacentral:rRNA from 1 species
UACGGAGGGGGCAAGCGUUGUUCGGAAUUACUGGGCGUAAAGGGCGCGUAGGCGGCCUUCUAAGUCGAACGUGAAAUCCCCGGGCUCAACCCGGGAACUGCGUCCGAUACUGGAAGGCUUGAAUCCGGGAGAGGGAUGCGGAACUCCAGGUGUAGCGGUGAAAUGCGUAGAUAUCUGGAGGAACACCGGUGGCGAAGGCGGCAUCCUGGACCGGUAUUGACGCUGAGGCGCGAAAGCCAGGGGAGCAAACGGG